rnacentral:rRNA from 1 species
UGGCGAACGGGUGAGUAACACGUGGGUGAUCUGCCCUGCACUCUGGGAUAAGCCUGGGAAACUGGGUCUAAUACCGGAUAGGAGCCAUCUUUAGUGUGGUGGUUGGAAAGUUUUUUCGGUGUAGGAUGAGCUCGCGGCCUAUCAGCUUGUUGGUGGGGUAAUGGCCUACCAAGGCGGCGACGGGUAGCCGGCCUGAGAGGGUGUACGGCCACAUUGGGACUGAGAUACGGCCCAG